GGGUGUGCCCUUCCUCCCUCACCGCUCCGUGUGCAUCCCUCCUGAAGCUGCACGCUUGGUAGAAGAGGAUGGCCUCCCCCAAAUAGAGACUAGUGACGGACCGAACUUGGAUCGAGGGUAUAGGAGUAGCUUCGCUCCCCUGCUAGAACCUCCAAACAAGCUCUCAAGUCCUCACAUAUGCAAGAAAAGUGCUUUAUCCUUAACCUUUAACUUUGAUUUUAUUGCAUUUUUGUAAUAUUUGCUCAU
rnacentral:sRNA from 1 species